rnacentral:rRNA from 1 species
ACGGAAGGCAGCAGUGGGGGAUAUUGCACAAUGGGGGAAACCCUGAUGCAGCGACGCCGCGUGAGUGAUGAAGUAUUUCGGUAUGUAAAGCUCUAUCAGCAGGGAAGAAAAUGACGGUACCUGACUAAGAAGCCCCGGCUAACUACGUGCCAGCAGCCGCGGUAAUACGUAGGGGGCAAGCGUUAUCCGGAUUUACUGGGUGUAAAGGGAGCGUAGACGGCGUGGUAAGUCUGAUGUGAAAGCUAUGGGCUCAACCCAUAAACUGCAUUGGAAACUAUCAUGCUAGAGUGUCGGAGAGGUAAGCGGAAUUCCUAGUGUAGCGGUGAAAUGCGUAGAUAUUAGGAGGAACACCAGUGGCGAAGGCGGCUUACUGGACGAUAACUGACGUUGAGGCUCGAAAGCGUGGGGAGCAAACAGGAUUAGAUACCCUGGUA